rnacentral:tRNA from 1 species
AGGGGUGUAGCUCAAUGGUAGAGUUCUGGCCUUCCAAGCCAGCUGUGAGGGUUCGAUCCCCUUCACCCGCUCCA